rnacentral:rRNA from 1 species
UACGGGGGGGGCAAGCGUUGUUCGGAAUUACUGGGCGUAAAGGGCUCGUAGGCGGCCAACUAAGUCAGACGUGAAAUCCCUCGGCUUAACCGGGGAACUGCGUCUGAUACUGGAUGGCUUGAGUUUGGGAGAGGGAUGCGGAAUUCCAGGUGUAGCGGUGAAAUGCGUAGAUAUCUGGAGGAACACCGGUGGCGAAGGCGGGUCUCUGGGCCGAUACUGACGCUGAGGAGCGAAGGCGUGGGGAGCGAACAGG